CAGUAGCCGCGGUAAUACGAAGGGUGCAAGCGUUACUCGGAAUUACUGGGCGUAAAGCGUGCGUAGGUGGUGGUUUAAGUCCGUUGUGAAAGCCCUGGGCUCAACCUGGGAAUUGCAGUGGAUACUGGGUCACUAGAGUGUGGUAGAGGAUAGUGGAAUUUCCGGUGUAGCAGUGAAAUGCGUAGAGAUCGGAAGGAACAUCUGUGGCGAAGGCGACUAUCUGGGCCAUUACUGACACUGAGGCACGAAAGCGUGGGGAGCAAACAGGAUUAGAUACCCGCGUAGUCCCUGUCUCUUAUAC
rnacentral:rRNA from 1 species